rnacentral:rRNA from 1 species
UAUGUGAUCGUCUCUCGCAUAUCAAUAAGCGGAGGAAAAGAAACUAACAAGGAUUCCCCUAGUAACGGCGAGUGAAGCGGGAAGAGCUCAAAUUUGAAAUCUUAAAGGGUUUCCCUUUACGAAUUGUAGUUUAAAGAAGUGUUUUCUGUUGAGGUUUUGGUAAAAGUUCUUUGGAAUAGGACAUCAUAGAGGGUGAGAAUCCCGUAUUUGACCUUUACUCUCAACUUUGUGAUACACUUUCAAAGAGUCGGAUUGUUUGGGAAUGCAGUCCAAAAUGGGUGGUAAAUUUCAUCUAAAGCUAAAUAUUGGCGAGAGACCGAUAGCGAACAAGUACCGUGAGGGAAAGAUGAAAAGAACUUUGAAAAGAGAGUUAAACAGUACGUGAAAUUGUCAAAAGGGAAGCGUUUGACACCAGUGUUGUUUUUCUGAAAAUCAAUUAAAGAGCUGUUUAUGCUAAGUUGUUUAGACUUUAUCAGCUAACUGUUUAGUUUUGAGCUUUUCUUUAAUGCACUUUUCAGUUAACAAGUCAACAUCAAUUUCUUUUGCUGUAAAAAAGCUUGAGGAAGGUGGCUUGAGAUUCGUCUUAAGUGUUUAUAGCCUCUUGCCUAUGCAGUCGGAGAGAUUGAGGUCUGCAGCGUAGAUCCUUCGGGGCUAAAUGCAUUUGUGCUAAGUUAUAGCAUUUUAUAGACAACUUGUUGACUAUGAUUUGUCUUGUAGCUUACUCGCUUAUGUUAUUUUACCUACGCUUAGGAUGUUGAUAUGCAUGACUGAUAU